rnacentral:rRNA from 1 species
UACGUAGGGCGCAAGCGUUGUCCGGAAUUAUUGGGCGUAAAGAGCUCGUAGGCGGUUUGUCGCGUCUGCUGUGAAAUCCCGAGGCUCAACCUCGGGCUUGCAGUGGGUACGGGCAGACUAGAGUGCGGUAGGGGGAGACUGGAAUUCCUGGUGUAGCGGUGGAAUGCGCAGAUAUCAGGGAGGGAACACCCGGGUGGGCGAAAGGCG